UGUAAGACUGAGCACUGAGCUCGGUUAAGCCCACUGAAACUCAAGCGAUCCAGGAGGGAGGAAAGCCUAUGAAAUCUGGUGGACAUCAGAGCCCUGCUGAUCUACCUAGCACUCCACCUCUGAAUAGCUGCAUCAGACCAAGCCUUCAGCACAGGAGGGCUGGGGAACCAAGGACAUCCCACACAGCUAAUUGCUUUUCACAAUGACUGUCAUUUAUCGUUGAUUGUCUGAAUGGAAUUUUAUAUAUGCUGGGAAAGAUCAGGUGCCCUUAAUUUGCCUAAAGCCACGGGAAGGUCCGGAUUCCUUCUAGAAGCCUGGGUUGUGUUUGUAUGUUUGAAGUCUCAGAGACCUGCCUGCACCAUCCAUUCAGAAGUCUGCAGAGGGCAUCGGGUCUUCCUUGGCAAUAAACGUUUAAAACUACCCC
rnacentral:lncRNA from 1 species